CCUACGGGCGGCAGCAGUAGGGAAUCUUUCACAAUGGGCGAAAGCCUGAUGGAGCAACGCCGCGUGCAGGAUGAAGGCCUUCGGGUUGUAAACUGCUUUUAUAAGCGAGAAAUAUGAUGGUAUCUUAUGAAUAUGGAUCGGCUAACUACGUGCCAGCAGCCGCGGUCAUACGUAGGAUUCGAGCAUUAUCCGGGGUGACUGGGUGUAAAGAGUUGCGUAGGCGGCAUAAAAAGUAGCUAGGGGAAUCUGGUGGCUCAACCAUUCAGACUAUUAGUUAAACUGUUAAGCUCGAGACCGUUAGGGGUAACUGGAAUUUCUAGUGUAGGAGUGAAAUCCGUAGAUAUAAGGAAGAACACCAGUAGCGUAGGCAGGUUACUGGGACGGUUCUGACACUAAGGCACGAAAGCGUAGGGAGCAAACGGGAUUAGAUACCCCUGUAGUC
rnacentral:rRNA from 1 species